rnacentral:rRNA from 1 species
UACGGAGGGGGCGAGCGUUGUCCGAAGUUACUGGGCGUAAAGAGCUCGUAGGCGGUGUGUCACGUCGGCCGUGAAAACCUGCAGCUUAACUGUGGGCGUGCGGUCGAUACGGGCAUCACUGGAGUUCGGCAGGGGAGACUGGAAUUCCUGGUGUAGCGGUGAAAUGCGCAGAUAUCAGGAGGAACACCGGUGGCGAAGGCGGGUCUCUGGGCCGAUACUGACGCUGAGGAGCGAAAGCGUGGGGAGCAAACAGG